GUCUUCACCACCUCACCACUCUUGAAACCUUAGAUCUCUACAAGUGCCCUAAGCUCCAAUACUUGACAAAAGAGAGACGGCCAAACUCCCUCUCUUAUCUGUAUGUCCUCAAGUGUCCUUCACUGGAACAACAGUGCCAAUUUGAGAAAGGGCAAGAAUGGCGUUUUAUAUCUCACAUUCCAAAAAUAGUGAUCGAUGAUGUGCUAUUUUAAUGAAAAUGGCACUGCACCAACAUAUCGGCAGCUUCAACCCUAGGACAAAUGUUAUUGAAAAGCCGUAGAUGAGGAUUCAACCUAGGUGCUGACAUUUUGACACAGACAGUUCAGAUCAUAUUUUAAUGGCAUGGAGAAAACCAUGGAUUUAUUCUAGCUAGCUGCUUAUUGAAUUACUUAAACCUUCUACAUUGUUAAGGUCUUGACCUCCUUUCAGAAUUCAAAGGCUCCUAAUAUGCUCAACACUCUUUAGGAAUUGUACAUCUACACAAGUCUUUGGCUGGUCCAGUUGUUGAAGAUUUGAGCAAGCAACAAACUCUAUUUGUUUGAUUUGAGAAGUUCUCCAACAAAGGAAAAUUCAUCCCAGUUACCAGUAUCAGCAUAAAAGACUGCUUAUGAGGAACAAAGUUCGGUUAUGAUAAUAGCAACCUGCAUUGAUUGGGAGUCGUAACAAAAGCUGGUCUAUUGCGUGCUAACUAAGUGGUCCACUUUUUAAAGGUCUUGACUAUGACUAGGAAUUUCUGUAUAUUUUCUGUUGUCAUGGAGAUGAUCAUUGACAUCAAUGUCAUGGAUCCCAUUUCGGACUAUAGUUCUGGAUCACAGGAGAAGACAUUAAUAUUCUUAUGCUAGGUUCUCAUUAGCAGAAUUCUCAUUGGCAUGCCUGCACUUCUAUCAGUGAGUAUGAGUCUUGGGUCCAUAGUCUUAAAGAAGGAGAGUCUAAUUCUUUACAAAGGUUUAUACCGUGAAACUCCCAAGAAGUAUAUUAUGUCUAAAUUGAUCUUAAUUUAAGACCUUUUGUAGUUCAAUUUUCUAUUUUUGAUGUUGUUGUAUUAUCUUAAAGUAGUUAAGAGUGUAAUUCCCUCAUCGAACCAACUGACUUUGUGUAGAAAUGAUGAUUCUAAGCUUAUUCACCAUCCUCAUGAAUUCGAAAAGUCACUCUUCUAUAUUUCCAGACUUUCUAAUGGUUAAAAACUGGGUGAAUCAAUCAAUAGGAUAUUAGGUUAUGCAUUUUAUUAUUUGUUUGACUAUUUAUUUUUCAUUAUUUCUUAUAUAUUAAGAGCAGAGUUGGUUGUGGACUAUCUCAAUAUAAGGUCUGUUCUCAACCUGGGCAAGUUUAUUUUGAGGGCUUAUUUGUCUAUUAGUCUAGCCGAACUAGCUUCAAAAACGAUACGGGAGAUGAGCAUUAUAUGUAACUCAUUUCAAUUUGACCAACCUGAAAAGUAUCAAGUAUGGAUGCCCAUGCUUGGUUGGGUUGAGUAACAAUCAGACCCAGAUACCUACCUGCACAUGGGGAGAGACUUAAGCAUAAGAGACUUAAGGAGUGACUAUUACUACAGGGCAACACUUGAUUCUGAUGGAGCUGCUAGAUCAUAUAAGCACUCAAAUGCUUCUUCUUGGUCUGUUGUGCAGGCAAUUCCUGAUGACAUGUGCAGCAUAGGCACCAGCGGCCAUGGAUUUAACAGCUAUUGAAUUGUUUGAUGAAGAGGGGAGGCUGUCCAGGUGUGUGUGCCUGUAUGGUUAUUCUUUCUUGGAUCCAGAUUUUAAAGACCAAAUUUUUUCAAAUGCCUAGUUGCCAAGCUGAUGAAGGGGAAGCAGAGAAUGCAAUAGAGUUCAUAUAAUUAUGAACUUCAUAUCGGACAGGCUAUUGACGUUACUUGCAAAUCAGAGGGUACCCUGAUCUCAUAUAUAUGCAAUUGCUUGCUCUCACCUCCAAAAAUAGUGAUCAAUGGUGUGAUAUUUUAAUGAAAGUGGUACCGCACCAAUAUACAGUCAGAUCUAAUCAUGGGCGUGCUCCAAGCUUCUCCAGAUGACUGACCAAACAUCACACAGGCACGUGCUUUGCUUGAUUGGCAUUCAUCUCCAUGAAUUUAGGUGUGUUAGGGAUUUUCUUUUUUCGUGAAGCUUCAAGUUUGAAACAAAUAUUGAAGAGGAGUCGAGGAGGAUUGAACCUAAGUGCUCACAUUUUGGAUGCAGAUAGUUGCCAUAUUCUAAUGGUACUGGCAAGGUCAUGCUCUGUUUUUAUUUGGCAGUAUGCCUAAACCAAGUGAACCACUUGAUAACUAUGGAAAACCAUGGAUGCUUAGGUUUUUGUCACUUUCUGGGUCUAUGUUCUCUUAUACAAGCAUGGAGUAAAGUAGGGAUGUAUUGUGCUUUGGCAGUAAGAAAUUUUAAUUGCUUUGGUCUUUUCUUGCUGCUAUUCCCUUUCCAGUGUAUUAAAAGUGGAGAUUUAACUCUGCAAUAUACAAAAUUGCAAGUUUUAUGACUGCA